GUAUGAGUUUUUUUAAAACAAGUAUGGCCUACCAACUACACCAGUUGUUGUUAGAAUUUAUGAUAUUAUUUCAUUUUUAAAAUUAUGAUAUUCGAAUCAAUUUGCGUGACUUAGAUUAUUUCAUCAGAUACUUAAUCAAAUAAUGGUUCUUGUUCUUUUAAGCUAAAAAAGAAAUAGGUAAAGCAAUUGUUAAAAGAGUAAGAUAAGCACUAAUUUAUGGUUUGUUACAUUCUUCCAUCUCUUAAUAUUAUUUAAAAAAAUUAUUCAUACUAGAAUUUUUUAGAUUAUUUUUUCUCUUCCUAUAUUAAUUAAUGUACCUAACUAUCAAAAAAUUUCUAUUGUUCUCCUAAAUUAAUUAAAUAUGUAAUUCAGCUUGAUGUGACAAUGGUUAGAUCAAUAUUUUAAAACGUAUCUAACUUUAUAAUUUAAAGUUGUACUUUUCGUAUAAUUUUAAAUAUUUAUAUUUUAAUAUAGUAGAUAAAUUAAUUUGAUUUAAUUUAAAAUUGAGUCAACUUAAUUUGAAAAAGUAUAACAACUAAUUUUUGAAUGAAUAAAGUACUAGUUUAGGUAGGUUUUUGGAAGAUAAACCAUCUUGAUAAAUUGAUAGCUGUCAAGAAUUAAAUAUUACUAUUAUUGGAUCUAGGCACUCUGAAUAUAAAAUACUCCUUUCGUUCCAUUUUAUAUGUCACUUUUUUACUUUGCACUUACAUUAAGAAAUGAUGUAACUUUACCCUUCUACUCUUAUUUAAUGUUUUCUUAAGUCAACUUUAUUAAUAAAUGACAAGAUUAAUUAACUAUUUUAUGAAGGGUAUAAUAGGCAAAAUAUGGUAAUUUAUGCAUAAAUUUUAUAAAAUGACAAGUAUUGUGGUCCAUCAACUUAAUUUGAAAAAGUAUAACAACUAAUUUUUGAAUGAAUAAAGUACUAGUUUAGGUAGGUUUUUGGAAGAUAAACCAUCUUGAUAAAUUGAUAGCUGUCAAGAAUUAAAUAUUACUAUUAUUGGAUCUAGGCACUCUGAAUAUAAAAUACUCCUUUCGUUCCAUUUUAUAUGUCACUUUUUUACUUUGCACUUACAUUAAGAAAUGAUGUAACUUUACCCUUCUACUCUUAUUUAAUGUUUUCUUAAGUCAACUUUAUUAAUAAAUGACAAGAUUAAUUAACUAUUUUAUGAAGGGUAUAAUAGGCAAAAUAUGGUAAUUUAUGCAUAAAUUUUAUAAAAUAAUAAGUAUUGUGAUCCAACUAUUUAUAGAAAAGGAUAACAUAUAAAAUGGACGGAGAGAGUACUGUUCAAUCUAAUUAUAAUAGUAUUUUCUUCUUUUUUUUUUUGUUAAUUUCUCAAAGUGAUAUGUGUUAAUACUGAUUUAUUUUUAAAAAAUUAGGCACGUGUCAUUUUUUCUACCUCUUUCGAUUUCGACUUUUUUAAAAAGAAGUUAAACCGACUUGCCCUAAAAUUAAAUUAUUGUCUAACUUUUUUAGUUGAAUAAGAAGAAAAUAUAGGUCCCCAUAUUUCCUCUUCAUUUUAAGUAAAAUUUCUAGUGAAAUGCAUUUUUUUUCCCUAGAUCAUUAAAUUUUAUAUACAAUAAUGGUAUAAUUUUUUUUAAAAAAAUAUAACUACAAAUAGUGAUGGAUUUUAAAUUCAAACUACAUAAGAUUAAAUUCGAUUUUCUACCACAACUCAACUGAUUUAAUCAAUUGAAAAUUCUUAUUUAUAAAUUAAAAAAUUAACCUAUCCUUCGAGAUUUGAAUUCAAGCUCUUUAGUUCAAAUGAAUUUUAUCUUACAAUAUCCACCCCUUCUACAAGUAGCUAAAUAUCCUUAAUAAAUAAAAUUAAUAACCUAGAAAAUAAAACAAACAAUCAUAAACAACAUGUAAAAACAUAAUAAUACUAAUCUUAAAAAAAGAUCUUUAUACUAUCAACACACAUAAAUAUAUAAAUAAAGUAAUAUAAUAAUAGCAUAAAAAAUCUUUUACCUAAAAAAUAACUACUUAGUAUAAUAACAUGAUCUUUAUACUAUCAAAACAUAUAAACAUACAUAUAAUGAAGAUAAAAAAAUCCUCUAACUUAAAAUAUACACUAAAAACGAAUCUUUAUAUUAUCAACGCAUAUGAAAAUUCAUUUUACUUGAAAGAUGACAUGUAUAAAUAAACACUACAAAAAUCUAAAUACUAUCAACACAUACACACAAACAUAUAAA
rnacentral:lncRNA from 1 species